rnacentral:lncRNA from 10 species
GUUUUCCCGUUGCCCAGGCAUGCGAGUGAGUGAGCUUUCCAAAGACUUUAACCCCAGCCUUUGAGCUGCCAGAGCUGACAUGAAGUAGAACAGAGAUGAGCUGAGCUUUGCCCCACCUGCAGAUGUAUAUAAAGAAAUUGACACAACUAAUUAGAAGCCGGGUCCAAGAUUUUCAUUUAUAAAGUCUACUUCCAGCACUCACUCUUUGACCCCCUAUACUUCAUACUCCAGAGUGACUCCAAACAAAGACUAUGGAACUUCCCACAUACACCCCUUUUGGCUGAGCUGUAUGGCCAUAAGCGUAGAGACUUGCAGCUGUAUGUGGCCGUGAAUGAGAGACCCAGAGAUGGAAGCUUCACAGCAUUUGUGGCAGUAGCGGCAGAAAUGCAUCACACAUUUGAGUCCCUAGAUGGCCUUGUGGAGAAACGUCUACCUGCCACCCUGGACUAUUAGAAAUAUUCUUCAAACAAAACCUUAUGAGGAACAGAACCAUAGCUCCUGAAACUGUGUGAAAGCAAGAGAAAGAGAGUCUUUUGUCAAUAGUCUGUCCACACAUAUCCAGACCCAACCCAAAGUUACAACCUGACCUCCACGAUCACUUUCCCUCACAGGGACCGCACUAUGAGGAACACGCCAAAGUUGAGAAAGGGUAAGAUUCUUGCCCAACCUCAAGACCAGUGCUAUUCUCUUCACGCCAAGGCAGGAAGAUCACUGAAGCCCAGAAGUUCGAGGCUAAAAUGAGCUAUGAUUGUGCCAACGCACUUCAUCCUAGGCAACAUAGCAAAACCCUAUCUCUAAAAUAUAAACAAGUAAAAUAAAUUUAAAAAUAAUUGUGGCGUGUGGCAAUUAUUGAUAAUGCCUCAUAGCCCCAAAUUCAUCCCUGGUUGCCUUCCCUGUGAAAAUAAAUCUAGGCCCUUCACCUUUAUUUUUUUCUUUUUUGGCUAUCAUGAUGCUAAACUUAUCAGUAGAGGGCAAUACAAAGACAUUUCAAGAAGGCAGAGGCUUCCCUCCUGGUAGUGCACUUUUUCCCCACUGUCUAUUCCACGUGGUUUUCACCAUUGUCAAGGGCUUAGAGGGUACAGCUUUCACAGUGUGUUUUCUACAGUUCUUGACUCAGGAAACAAUGGCAUAGUGGAAGCCCCAGAAAAAUCUGACCUGUGCGCUAGCCCUGUUAACUGCUGCCCACAACCCUGAGUGAUAUGAAUGUAAGGGGUACUGUGGAGCUGAUAAUCAGCAAGCUUGUGGCAUGACCUCCAUCCUGUGUAGCCCAGAGCCACCCUACCCAAGCCACAAAUAGAAAAGCUCUGGGUUUUGAUGCUGACUCUCUAUGGUCCCACUUCUUAGCCUAAGAUCACCUGUGCCCUAGAGAGUUGUACCUACUUCGCCUGGUGACUGUGGACCAGCUCUGCAGGAAGCAAUUUACCAAAUGUCUCUGCGAUCCAGUGGUCAGCAAUUACACCUUCUUCAGUGUGGUCAUAGCCUCUUUCCAAAUUUGUCCUUCCUUAACUACUCUCCCUGUUUUCAUGUUUAUAGUUGUUCUCUUAUCAUUGUUUAAUAAUUUUUAUGUUAAAUUUCCCAUGUUUAAAUUACUAAGUCGAUAUUGUCUCUUGAUUGUACCCAGGCCAAUAAAUGGUACUAUAAAUAUUGUGUUUAUAUUUCAAUAUACAUUGUUUUAAGGUGACUCCCAUGGAGUUUAUAAGCAAGAUAAUGCUUGAGCAAAAUCUAGUACAUUGCAAUAACCUAGGUGACCACAUCAUUUCUCGUGCAAUAAUCAUUUUUAUGUCUCAUAAGAUAUAUGAAUAUAUUAUAAAUUAGAAACAGGAAUAAUUAAACAGAAAACAAUAGCAUAUGACAUGGCAAAGGCAAUAAAAUAAAUAUAUAGGCAAUAUAGGAGCAACUAUGAAAGACUAGGACUUGCAAUAUCAUAUAAAGGAAUUUAAGAACCGAAAUUGAGUAGUCAUUCUUGUUAACAGUGUAUUCAUUUUGUUUUCAUAAUCUUAUUAUCAUGCUGUAACUGUGCUAUAAAAGAGAUAUUGACAAAGACAUGCUUCAGUUAAGGCAGUUUACAUAUGAGCAAAAAAUUUUGGAAACAUUGGAAUUGUUAGUAUAA